UGCCAGACUGCAAGUGAGGACAGCGAUGGCACUACAGGGCCACAGCCUGGUUUACCUGCCAUAUUUCCAGUUGUCCUUCUGGUGGGUGCCCUGCCCAGGUUGCAGUUUGAAGAGUGAGCAGGAAAGGUGUCUGUCGCUCCCACAUCUAGUGUUGCCGAGGCAUCCAGCAAGGUGCUGACUGAGAAGAGAGAAGAGAUUUAGGGUCUCAAUGCUCCAAGGACGAUCAGCACAGGAUCGACAUGGGGCCCCCUGCUUCCAGCAGUGAAACCUCCAGAAGAGCCCUCUCAGCUAUAGGGACAGCAGUUAGGACACCGUCCCUAUUCCCUGUCCUCCUGCUGCGUCUCAAGGCACAAAACACUUACUGUCAGCGGAGUCAGCGUCAUUCACUGGAACCAGCAGCCUCCUCCUCUGACACCCUUCAGCUUCUGCCUGUUCCUGUAACACACAGUGGGGAAUGCUCUGGUCAGAGUCAGGAGUCCUGCAGUCUAGUACUGACCCUGACCACUAGCCAGCAAGAGACCUGCAGCGCUUUCCCUCUUGGGUCUCCAUGGAGAUGGAGACAAACCUCUGGUCCUCCAUAGCUCUUGGGCUCUGUGUGCUGGUGGCUCAUUGAGACAUAAGUGACAUGCAGUAAAUGCUCACUUUGUAAGUGUUCUGACCAACUUUGACUAUAGGCCUGUGUAAUUAUCCCCUGAUCAAGACAUAGAAACUGCCACACCCCAGAAAGUCCCCUUCUGCCCCAUCUAAUCAACUCCCACCCACCCUCACAAGAAAUGAUCACUUCCUUCCAGAAUUCUUACCAGCAGAGUCUCGGCAGACUAUAUAUGAGAGCACCCAGGAAAACCUAACAAAAUGAUUUAUCCCAAGACUGUAAAUGAUCUUUGAUCAUCAGUACUCUACCAUAUCAAUAGCGUAAUUAAAUAAAAUGGCAGUCUCUAUGGAGGCUGGAAAGACAUUUGGUAAAAUUAAACAGCAAUUCUGAUUUUUUUCAAACCCUUUUAGAAUAGUAAGCUGUG
rnacentral:lncRNA from 1 species